rnacentral:rRNA from 1 species
GUGGUAAUGCCGGAUGCUCCAUCACACCGCAUGGUGUGUUGGGAAAGCCUUUGCGGCAUGGGAUGGGGUCGCGUCCUAUCAGCUUGAUGGCGGGGUAACGGCCCACCAUGGCUUCGACGGGUAGCCGGCCUGAGAGGGCGACCGGCCACAUUGGGACUGAGAUACGGCCCAGACUCCUACGGGAGGCAGCAGUGGGGAAUAUUGCACAAUGGGCGCAAGCCUGAUGCAGCGACGCCGCGUGAGGGAUGGAGGCCUUCGGGUUGUAAACCUCUUUUGUUAGGGAGCAAGGCAUUUUGUGUUGAGUGUACCUUUCGAAUAAGCACCGGCUAACUACGUGCCAGCAGCCGCGGUAAUACGUAGGGUGCAAGCGUUAUCCGGAAUUAUUGGGCGUAAAGGGCUCGUAGGCGGUUCGUCGCGUCCGGUGUGAAAGUCCAUCGCUUAACGGUGGAUCCGCGCCGGGUACGGGCGGGCUUGAGUGCGGUAGGGGAGACUGGAAUUCCCGGUGUAACGGUGGAAUGUGUAGAUAU